GGUGGCUCAGUGGCAGAGUGCUUGCCUUGCAUGCACGAGGCCCUGGGUUCGAUUCCUCAGCACCA
rnacentral:tRNA from 1 species